ensembl:misc_RNA Metazoa_SRP Metazoan signal recognition particle RNA
GCCAGGCAUGGUGGUGAGUGCCUGUAAUCCCAGCUACUUGGGAGGCUGAGGCAGGAGAAUUGCUUGAGCCCAGGAGAUGGAGGUUGCAGUGAGCCGAGAUGGCAUCACUGCAUUCUAGCCUGGGCAACAGAGUGAGACUCUGUCUCAA